UGAGGUUCUGGUUAGGUCCAAUGAUUAACAUGACCACUCUCAGAAAUCUAACUAAGAUCAGGCCUGACUUUGAUCAACCAACCUAACCACCCAUCAGAGAGACUCGACUGAGCUAUCAUAUUAUGAAUGAUAAUUUCAAUAGCCGAUAAGCACCAGACCUUUGAAUCUUUAAUAAUUAUCAAACUAAUAGACCCAUUAUCACCCAACUUAAUUGGAGGCUAUGAUCUAGUUAUCACCAUAACUAUUUCAUUUUUAGGACCUAAUAAUUUAGAGAAUUUGGUUAACAUAAUUUUAGAGAAA
rnacentral:lncRNA from 1 species